rnacentral:misc_RNA from 1 species
UUUCCGUAGGUGAACCUGCGGAAGGAUCAUUAUCGAAUUUCGAGGGGAAGGAAGAUGAGGAGUGGAGACUGUCUCUGUCUUUCCCGCCUGAGAAGCAUGUGCACGCCUUGCUUUUCGUUGACCUUUCUCUUACUCGCACACCUGUGCACCCAUUGUAGGUCCUCGAUAGAGGCUCUAUGUUUUUAUCAUCACACGCAUCGUAUGGCCAUAGAAUGUAACGUGAUCGUUGAUCGACCUCGGGGUCGGGUGGCGGUCUAAAUAAAUAAAUACAACUUUCAGCAACGGAUCUCUUGGCUCUC